rnacentral:rRNA from 1 species
CCUACGGGAGGCAGCAGUGGGGAAUAUUGGGCAAUGGGCGAAAGCCUGACCCAGCAACGCCGCGUGAAGGAAGAAGGUCUUCGGAUUGUAAACUUCUUUUAUGAGGGACGAAGAACGUGACGGUACCUCAUGAAUAAGCCACGGCUAACUACGUGCCAGCAGCCGCGGUAAUA